rnacentral:rRNA from 1 species
CUACGGGGGGCUGCAGUGGGGAAUAUUGGACAAUGGGGGAAACCCUGAUCCAGCAAUGCCGCGUGUGUGAAGAAGGCCUGCGGGUUGUAAAGCACUUUCGGUUGGGAGGACUGCUUCUAGCACUAAUAUUGUUGGAAGUUGACGUUACCUUCAGAAGAAGCACCGGCUAACUCCGUGCCAGCAGCCGCGGUAAUACGGAGGUGUGAAGCGUUAAUCGGAAUUACUGGGCGUAAAGCGCGCGUAGGCGGCUAGAUCAGUCGGGUGUGAAAGCCCCGGGCUUAACCUGGGAACUGCAUCCGAUACUGUCUAGCUUGAGUACAGGAGAGGAGAGUGGAAUUCCACAUGUAGCGGUGAAAUGCGUAGAUAUGUGGAGGAACACCAAUGGCGAAGGCAGCUCUCUGGCCUGAUACUGACGCUGAGGUGCGAAAGCGUGGGGAGCAAACAGGAUUAGAUACCCUAGUAGUC